GACGAACGCUGGCGGCGUGCUUAACACAUGCAAGUCGAACGGUGAACCUCGCUUGCGGGGGGAUCAGUGGCGAACGGGUGAGUAACACGUGGGCAACCUGCCCCCGGCUCUGGGAUAACUCCAAGAAAUUGGGGCUAAUACCGGAUGUGACCGCUGGCCGCAUGGUCUGGUGGUGGAAAGAUUUAUCGGCUGGGGAUGGGCCCGCGGCCUAUCAGCUUGUUGGUGGGGUGAUGGCCUACCAAGGCGACGACGGGUAGCCGGCCUGAGAGGGUGACCGGCCACACUGGGACUGAGACACGGCCCAGACUCCUACGGGAGGCAGCAGUGGGGAAUAUUGCACAAUGGGCGGAAGCCUGAUGCAGCGACGCCGCGUGAGGGAUGACGGCCUUCGGGUUGUAAACCUCUUUCAGCAGGGACGAAGCGCAAGUGACGGUACCUGCAGAAGAAGCACCGGCCAACUACGUGCCAGCAGCCGCCGUAACAC
rnacentral:rRNA from 1 species